AGGAUAAACGCUGGCGGCGUGCCUAACACAUGCAAGUCGAACGCGCUCUCCCGCUUCGGUGGGAGAGCGAGUGGCGGACGGGUGAGUAACACAUGGGUACCUACCUCACAGUGAGGGAUACCGGCGAGAAAUCGCCGACAAUACCGCAUAGGCUUCUUGUUACAGAGAAGCAAAGUUGCGCAAGCGACGCUAUGAGAUGGGCCUGUGGCCGAUUAGCUAGUUGGUGGGGUAAUGGCCUACCAAGGCGACGAUCGGUAGC
rnacentral:rRNA from 1 species